UCAAGAGCGGUGGUGUGGAUGCCGCGAGCAGCAAGCAGCUGCAGCAGACUGGAAGAGGAAAGCUGAGCAGGAGUAAGUGCGAGUAAAUGUAGAAGUAUAACAGGCAGAAAGGGAACACUUCAAAGCAAUAAAAUACAGCGAGAUCGCAUCAGGGAAUGAUAUGGGAAAGGGGAACGCACGGGGGGUGUAACGUGGGCUUCCUUUUCUCGCGGGCCCCAUGAUCCCCUGUGCAUUUAAUUGAAAGAUUCUGACUUGCUAUUACCUCUUUAUUGUUCUGCAGACCCGAGAAAUUGACGUCCUUCAUUGUAGGGUUUUGCAAAGGGGGCAAACCAAAGGGGUAGAGCCCUAAGCCGGAGGUAUAGGGGCUAUCUGCAAUGUCUUGCUGUUCUGUUUCUUCUGCACUUGACGAAGUCCUCAGAGUUAUUUUCAGCUUGCUGAGUAUAUUCUUAUUGGAAGAAAAUUUUCAUUUUUGAUUAAUGUUGUGCCUGGUUUUACUGAAUUCAAACAUUCUGCAGUGGGCAGAGCCAGUAUUAUCACCUGAUUUUGCUCUGUAUAACUAGGUAGUUUUGGUCCAAAACCAGUUACCACCUAGUAUCAGAAAAAACUGCCAAAGAAUUGGGUGGUAUUUUCACUUCCCAUUCCACUUCAGCAUAGACUGGUCCAGGCUGACCUCUUAAGACCAGGCCAGGUUAUAAGUGAACGUUAUUUGCCAUCUCUACGGUUCAACUGCUGGCUGCAGCAACUUUUCAUCUGUUUUGUUUUCGCCAAAACUGGCACAAUGCAGGGAAAAGGAGAAGUGAAGAAGAAGAGGAAAAGAGGAGCUAGAGAAGAUGACAUGAAUGGGUGGAAGAAAAAGAAGAUGAAGGAUUGUUAGAGAACUAGAUGGAAUUCUUAAAGGCUUCUUAUCAACGAAGCUUCUGCACAUAUACAUUAAACUGGACCUGCAUAUUCUCACAAUAAUAUUCAACUUCUAUAGUACUUUCUCAGUGUCUCUGUUUUAUUCCAGCAGAUGGGCAGGAUGUAUCAUUUUCCAGGAAGUUUCGAGGUUCAAAACUAAAAGGGAGGCUGGACAUGGCCAUGCUUAAAGUUAUCUCACAUUUCUUGACAUCAAGUGGUAUUUGUUUGGUGGUCCUUACUGCAUCCUAUUGGACAAAAUCUAUCACCAAGAUACUCCUUGCCUGCAACAUGUUCAAUGAGUAUGGAUUCUAUUCAGCAUGACAUCAUGUAUGUAAUAUGUCAAAUAUGUCAUGUAGCAUUGCAGGACGGUCUCAUUUACCCAUCGCACCUUAUCUUAAUGGUCCACCAAAAAUCCUAAGCACACGGUUAGCUUUGCAAAUUUUAUGUUUAUGGUUAUUGUUUUGGUGUCGUAUCUCCCCCUCCCUCCAUCAUACUGUUAGUAGCUCAUUGUCUCUAGAUAAUUUCCUUGAGCUAACCUGCAUUGACUUACCAUGAUCAUCCAUCAGAUUAGAUUUUAUUACUGAAAAUUAGCACAUUGACCUUUUUGGGGAUCAGGUUUUGUGAUCUUAGCAUCUUUGUUAGCAACAUAAUUUUCUGAAGUUUAGACCUACUUAGUUUCUAGGAAGUUGGGAGCUGUUCUUGCUAAGACGUUCAAACUAGCUAUUAGUUCCAGUCCUCUGCAGCCAGUUUACUUUCUGUUCCUUUUUGUUUCUCAAUCUGUGCAAUUUGUCAUGCAAUUGUUGCAUAUAUGAUCUCUCUCUAUUUAGGAUCCAUCUUGUGGAAAUUAACUUGCAGCACAGGAUGGUUCAUGUGAGUUGCUUUAUGGUUGCAUUCAUAAUUGUUUGUUAUAGUAUUGUACUGAUUUAUUUUGGUUUACUGAGAUAUUAUCGAGUCCCUGACAUGGUUUUCCACUUGGUUGACAGCCUUUGCUGCUGCUUCAAGACUGUUGUUUGAUGCCUGGAAUUCUUCUUCCCCGUCCUAUUCUGCCCACCGCUUUGCAUUUCUAGAUCCCACACAAGUUAUCUGGUUUGUGCCAAAAGGAAGGUGCAUAAACUAAAGGCACUUAAUGUGCUCCCUUAUGCAUGUGAUCUGGUGAAAGCCACGUUGAUUCAGAUACAGCAGAUGUUGUUCAAAGGCUUGGAAAAGGCAGGAGACAAGCGGCAUGAGCAACACAGAAAGUGGGAACAUGGCCAUGUACUGGCGCCUACUUCAGUGGACCUACAUCAGAUCAAGAAAGAACAUCCAAGAACAUGAAUGCAAACCACAAAGCAGGUACAAUGGUACGAUGGUGGUGGUUCUUUCACUGAUUGCAUCAUAUCCUGUGGCUAUAAUUUCUUUCGUUAUCUGAGUGCUACCCCAAAUAUUUGGUUGGCGCAUCAUCAUCAUCAUCAUCAUCAUCAUCAUCACGGUGAUGAUCGAGAAAGCCAAGCUGCCGAGUCGGUUCGGAGGCAUGGGAAACUAAGAACCGAGGCACCGGAAACGACGGGAUGAGAAGAGUGGCGUUGGUUGCUGGACCACAGGCUUGGUAUUAUGACAGAGUCGGUCUGAGCACUUUUUUGGGCUCUACCAUAUUUCUAAGACUUGGUACUUUCCGUGGAGUUGUUGUCACAGUGAUCCCAACAACAUACUGUUCAUUGACAUAUAUAUAUCAGGUAAUGGAUAACCCAACCUCAAGAGAGAGAGAGAGAGAAUUUUAAAUUAUAUAUAUAUCUUGAUCGGUAUUGGUUCUUAUUGUCCGAUUAACUUGUUUAAGUAUGAAAAGUAUGAAUCACUAUCCUGAGGGGUUUAAGCUCAA